CACGUAGGGGACGAGCGUUGUCCGGAUUCAUUGGGCGUAAAGCGCGCGUAGGCGGCUCGGAAAGUCGGUCGUGAAAUGCCGGGGCUCAACCCCGGGACUGCGUCCGAUACUUCCGGGCUGGAGGUAGGUAGGGGAGAUCGGAAUUCCUGGUGUAGCGGUGAAAUGCGCAGAUAUCAGGAGGAACACCGGUGGCGAAGGCGGAUCUCUGGGCCUUACCUGGCGCUGAGGCGCGAAAGCUAGGGGAGCGAACAGG
rnacentral:rRNA from 1 species